UACGAAGGGGGCUAGCGUUGCUCGGAAUCACUUGGGCGUAAAGCGCACGUAGGCGGCUUUUUAAGUCAGGGGUGAAAUCCUGGAGCUCAACUCCAGAACUGCCUUUGAUACUGAGGAGCUUGAGUCCGGGAGAGGUGAGUGGAACUGCGAGUGUAGAGGUGAAAUUCGUAGAUAUUCGCAAGAACACCAGUGGCGAAGGCGGCUCACUGGCCCGGUACUGACGCUGAGGUGCGAAAGCGUGGGGAGCAAACAGG
rnacentral:rRNA from 1 species